AUGCUUAUCAAUACCCACAGUCCCUCCUCAUUUUUAGUGCAGUGGCGAAGGAAGGAAGCAGUCACUCAGUGCACUCGCACAGGAAUAUUGCAGGAGUUUUCAAGAGAGAGAGAUGGCUGAGGCAGACAUGGGUAGCAAAGAAAGCAGAUGUCUUCAAGGAAAGACAGCUCUUGUCACGGGCGGAACAAAAGGAAUAGGGUUAGCGCACCAAGGGGUCUCGCUAAUUACACUAACAACGACAUCAGUUCAGAUAUUAGCCUAUAAGAGCAUUUUCAACCUCUUAUCUAAAGCUUUUAUGAGCCAAAACUCAACCCCAACAUAUUAUCUAUUGGAAUAUACAUAAAAUAUUAUAUAUUUUUCGUUUAUUUCAUAUUGUUGAUAUUGUAAUAUUCUCUAUUUAUGAAUUGAUUAAGAUUUAAUUACCAUACUUGUAUUUACUCUAUACCCGUCAGCCAAUGGAGACUAAGAGUCGGCCGCCGUGGACUCCCACCAGAGGCACCGGGAGUGCAUGAGCAGUCAUCAAUAUAAAUAAGAACCUUUGUAUUAUAGACACGGAACCAUACGUAAUUCUUUGUGUAUCUUUCUCUCCAUGCUUCCUCUAUUAUUUUCCUAUUUUAUAUUUUUCGUAUAUUCUAACAUUAACCAUCCAGUUAUUUAAACCAUAAUUUUGCUACAGUGAAAAGCAAAAGAUAAAUUAUCACAUCAUAAAAUGUAGAUGCCCUAACUAUGGUAGAAAUCAACAAUUGAGAAGAGCUGCACACCGUUUUUUGGUUUUAGUCCUAAUUCUAGUUUUUAAUCUAUUUUUUAUAAUCUUUUUGGGAUUUUAGUUCAAUUUCAAAAACUUUCCAUCAUGCGCAAUAAGAACUUCUCUCUGUUUUUCUUCUUUAAUACAAUAGUCGUUAUUUUGUCAUUUCUGAUGAAUUUUAUGUUGGUAUAGAUUUAGGAUUGUAGCUUCGUUCUUAACCUCAAUGAAACUCCACGUGAUCAAAUUGUGAAACUGCGUGCGCGGCAAUAAUUAACCAUGGUUUUAGUCAACUCUCUUUGCCUUCUCUUGCUAUCUUCAAAGUAAUUUGUCAUAGAGAUCAAUGUUGGAAAUUUUUUUCCUAAGAGAAUACAUCUUAUUUUAUAUGCUUUAGGAUGCAUGUGAUAGUGUUAUUUCCACACUUUUUAUGCAUAGCUCUCAUGUGUGUUAUUAAAUUUUAAUUUUAAUUCAAAAUCAAUGAUAAGAUGAAAAAUGUGCAUAACAAAUGUAGAGAGACAUGCAUGCUACUUCUCCAUUUACUAUUAAUCUUUUUCUCAAACCAACCAUUGCUUCAUGAGUGCCUGCAUGUAAUUGUUAGCGUCGCUUGCCCUCUUUGUUUUCUUGGUCAACAAAUCGUCUUCGUCUUUCAUGGGAGCCAUUGUGAUCUCUCUCUCUCUCUCUUUCUCACCCAUCAUCGUUGUCUUCCAUGGAGCCACAGUCACCGCAAGCCAAUCGUCUUCCAUGAGAGCUAUCGUCAUCUCUCUCCUAUCGUCAGAUCACGGUGAAACUCUACGAUAAAAUUUUUCAUUAAAUUGAGGUAUACUUUUCCAACAUAUCCACACUGGACCGGGAUCCUCGAUCUCCAUUUCAACUAGGGGAUCCAAAUUCA
rnacentral:lncRNA from 1 species